GGUCGCUUCUCCGCGAACGCGCGCAGGUUCCCGAGACGGUGCCUGCCAGGGUCGUCAUCCAUGUUUAUUCUACAAACCUCAGGAUUUUCCCGUGUUUUCCAGACUAACAAUGUUCCCUGAAAUGCCACUAGUUCAAUAGGACAAGAAGUACAAAGAUUCUUCUGGGAGCUACAAGGCUUGAAAUAACUUACCAAUGAAGAAACCUUGAACUGGACAUCCAAUAACCAACAGAAGCUUGGACAUGGGUCCUUCCCCAGAUGACCCUGGGCAACAUUCUUCCCUCUGGAACUAAGUCUUAUAGGCCAACAGAGCAUGAAGUUAUGAGAACAGAUGGCACACAUUUUGCUAGCGGGUCAGA